GUGUAAUUGGCAAUUAAAUCACAUUUGUACAAGUUUUCUUUGUAGCAUUGUAUUCGUGAGUUUACAAGGAAAUUAAUGAAGUUUUAUCAUUAUUAUUCCACAUCAUUGUUUAUUUCUUGUGCUUUAUGAUGUACCAGUGUACAUCAGCAGUACAGUGCAUGCUUCGUAUCAAUGCAGAUGGAGCUAAGGGAAUCAGAUAGUGAAUAUCGCUACCCACAUUAACCCAAAACAAAUUCCAAACUGGAUUGAAUACAGAGUAUUUGGUCCUAGAAACUGAAACACAAGUUUGUUUUGAGGCAGAACAGAAGCACGUUACCGAUAACCAAUAAUACAUAUAUUUUUUUUA